GUGUAUAGCUCAUGGUGGUAAUAAUUGGUGACCAACCAGCAAACACGAGAGAAGAUGAAGGUUGGUUAAUACGUUGAUCUCAACUUCCCCCUCUAUUUAUAAUGCUUUUGGAUGGUCAAGAUCAGAUUGUUCCUCCUUGAUUGCUCACCAGGUGCUAAGCUCUCCAAUCUCUAGCAAUAUGGAUCCCCAAUUAGAAGAUAUUCUUCAUGGACUUCUUUCUUGGAAGGCCAUUGCCUUGGGAAAUAACUCCCUUAAAGGCAACAUGAUGUUUGAAGCAAAGUCCAUCAUAGGUGUUGAGCCAAGAAGUUGUCUCUCAGAACUAUUUAAUGAGUGAGCUUGAUAUCAUCCACACAUUCUUAAGGAUUAUCCUCACAUUGUGGUUGGAGACAAGACACACCUGAGCUCAGCUCAGUUCGUCCAGACAUCUACUAUAGAAUAGGGGAUGUCGGUCGAUCCAACUAGGUCU
rnacentral:lncRNA from 1 species